rnacentral:rRNA from 1 species
GAUGAACGCUAGCGGCAGGCUUAAUACAUGCAAGUCGAGGGGCAGCACGGUUAGCAAUAACUGGUGGCGACCGGCGCACGGGUGCGUAACACGUAUACAAUCUACCUUAAACAGGGGGAUAGCCUUUCGAAAGAGAGAUUAAUACCCCGUAAUAAAUCGAAUGGCAUCAUUUGAUUUUGAAAGCUCCGGCGGUUUGAGAUGAGUAUGCGUCUGAUUAGCUAGUUGGUGAGGUAACGGCUCACCAAGGCGACGAUCAGUAGGGGAUCUGAGAGGACUAACCCCCACACUGGUACUGAGACACGGACCAGACUCCUACGGGAGGCAGCAGUAAGGAAUAUUGGUCAAUGGAGGCAACUCUGAACCAGCCAUGCCGCGUGCAGGAUGACGGCCCUAUGGGUUGUAAACUGCUUUUAUACAAGAGAAAACCCGAGUACGUGUACUCGGUUGAUAGUAUUGUAAGAAUAAGCAUCGGCUAACUUCGUGCCAGCAGCCGUACGG